GUCCAUAUUCAUAAACGUAUCAGUCUCCUAUUACGACUCUUUCCCAAGGCCACAGAGAAGAUUGAACGGGUUUUCACGGGUGCUUUUUCCCGUUCAAGAUGCAGGAGCCGUGUAAAACUAUCACCAGCAUCACAAAACAGUCCAUGUCAACCCCAGCAACUUCUACGACGAGAGGCCUUUCAAACAGAGGAAGUGAGGCGCUGAUAUGUUUAGAGAUAUAGGCAGAAAUCUUAACCCCUAUUUGAAUUUCGCGCCUCAAAUCACCAGCCGUUGCCCAUUCUCCCUUCCCCUCACGCGUGCACAGACAGACCCCGAUACCCAGGUGCCCACAAGCCCUACGGAGGCAAGGAGACCGGCCGGCUUGUGAUCUCGUAAGGUUAUUAAACAGAUAUUUAGAGUGUUUCAAGUAUUCGUAGUGACUUGUGAUGCAUCCGUACGUGUACCUAAGAUGCUGGUGUGCCCGUGAGAUGGACGAAGAAGGAAGAGGUGGAAGCAGAGGAGGAUCAGAAGGAAGGAAGGAAGGCGGAGCAAGGGACGGGAACACCAGACCGAGCAAGACCAAGCAAGACCAAGCAAGACCAACCAAGACCAAGCAAGACCGAGCAAGACCAAUGCAAAACCGAUCAUAAACAACGCUAUCUGGCGGCCAAAACUACAAUGAUGUCACCGAGAGAGAGAGCGAGUGACCGAGGCAUCAAGCUAGCAUCAAAGAAGCUCCAAGUGGAAGGAUUACUACUACUACUACUACUACUACUACUACUACUACUUCUACUACUACUUCUACUACUACUACUACUUCUACUACUACUACUAUUACUACUACUACUCCGUGCAGCCUCAGUGAGUAGAACAACGUCACUUUAUGUAAUGUAAUAUCUCUCUCUCUCUCUCUCUCUCUCUCUCUCUC